ACAAUGGCCAAGUCGCAGAGUGUAAUAAAGUCUCAGCUGGAGAAGGAAAUUACCACAUUGCGCGUGACUCGUGCCGCUGCCCUGCAAGGUCAAGACGGAGGCUCAACUCGAACCGCAGGGUAUGUCGGGAAGAAAGGCAAGGAUUUUGAGUUCAGUCACGUGUUACCAGUGACGGUGGAGUUCGCGGAGUGCAGUGCAAAAGGACAGGCGGACGGUGAAGCUGAUGUUACUGCUGUGGAAAAAUGGCUGGAAAAGAUCGCAUAAGAACAUCAGACUAACAGAAAGAGGAACGAUUAUUUAAAGAAGUAUAAGUUAGAAGUGGCUAAAAAGACUGUUAAGUAACCUUUCAGAAGGUGGAGGCUAAAACGUUCUGUUAUAACAACAUGAACGAGCCGCAUUUUACGCAGAUUGCGUUCAGACUCGGUGCAAUUUAGGCCCUUUAUUAUUUUCGAUUAUAUCGGUAUUCAUUAAGAAGAAAUUGCCCCUCCAAAGUAAUGUUUACUUGAACUAAGGUGACAAGGGAAAUUUUCAUUAAAAGUACAUGUAUACAGAAAAACUUGCCUCAA